rnacentral:ncRNA from 2 species
UACUUAUCAAGAGAGAUGGAGGGACUUGGCCCGUCGAUAUCUCAGCAACCACCCUAAAUGCGGCAAGGUGCUAAUUCCAGUAGACGUAGUCUUGUAGAUAAGGA